UUUUUAUGAGGUGAAUCAACUUCCCAGUAAGAACACUUGAAUAGCCGUUAUUUAAAUCAUUAGGUCCUAAAAGUUGUAAAAUGCACUAAUAGCCGAAUCAAGUUAUUUUCCUUCCUCUGUUCAUCUGAAUGAGACCCAGAUUGAGGGCUAGACUGAGGGCUGGGAGGCGGAGUUAAAGGUGCAAUGUGCGGGAGGAGGA